rnacentral:rRNA from 1 species
UACGGAGGGUGCAAGCGUUAAUCGGAAUUACUGGGCGUAAAGCGCACGUAGGCGGACAUUUAAGUCAGGGGUGAAAUCCCGGGGCUCAACCCCGGAACUGCCUUUGAUACUGGGUGUCUUGAGUGUGGUAGAGGUGAGUGGAAUUGCGAGUGUAGAGGUGAAAUUCGUAGAUAUUCGCAGGAACACCAGUGGCGAAGGCGGCUCACUGGACCACAACUGACGCUGAGGUGCGAAAGCGUGGGGAGCAAACAGG